UAUUGGACAAUGGGCGAAAGCCUGAUCCAGCAAUGCCGCGUGAGUGAUGAAGGCCUUAGGGUUGUAGAGCUCUUUUACCCGGGAUGAUAAUGACAGUACCGGGAGAAUAAGCUCCGGCUAACUCCGUGCCAGCAGCCGCGGUAAUACGGAGGGAGCUAGCGUUGUUCGGAAUUACUGGGCGUAAAGCGCACGUAGGCGGCUUCGUAAGUUAGAGGUGAAAGCCUGGAGCUCAACUCCAGAAUUGCCUUUGAUACUGCAUCGCUUGAAUCCAGGAGAGGUGAGUGGAAUUCCGAGUGUAGAGGUGAAAUUCGUAGAUAUUCGGAAGAACACCAGUGGCGAAGGCGGCUCACUGGACUGGUAUUGACGCUGAGGUGCGAAA
rnacentral:rRNA from 1 species